rnacentral:lncRNA from 1 species
AGGAAGCCUCCUAUCAGACUCUCUGCCUGGCCUGAGAUAUCCAGUUAACACCUGCAAUUCAGAAUACCCUCUCACCCAGCAAUAAAGCAUCCAGCCUUUGCAUCUGUAACAACCUCCUCUGUAAUUUGUGCAUUCUAUGAAUGCUCCAAAUCAUAAUAAAAUCCAUCCAUUACUUCAGACAGAUGAAAACAGUUCCUUCUAAAAAGAGGCUAAUGUUUUUAAAAGACAGUAAGAGAAGAAUGUCAGCUCCCCAUGGCUGCAGUAGAAAGUGCUGGAUGAGAGGAGCAUCUCCAGAGCAUGGAAGACAAAGCAGCUUUAUCCUCAACUUUUCCACCUCAAUUUCCAUUUUCCUCCAAGGCAAAACUCCCACUCCUGGCAGAUUAAAUGAAAUGAAGACACUGAGCUCUGCAAGUACACUGCUUUUUGAAUCCCAGAGUGAACUUGCUUGUCAAAUGCCUCUUUAAAAAGAAAGUGAAGAUAACUGCAAGUCAGCUGGAAGUGCUGCCAAGAUAUGACCUCCAGGAAGGCCCAGAAGACAAGUGAUAU